rnacentral:snoRNA from 1 species
GGAUCGAUGAUGACUCCCUCCAACAAAAACCAAACCAACAUUCCUUGGAGCGGAACAAAAUGAGUGAGAACUACACCCGUCGUCGUUCUCAUCGGUAACUGAGGUCC